AUUGAACGCUGGCGGCAGGCCUAACACAUGCAAGUCGAACGGUAACAGGAAAUAGCUUGCUGUUUCGCUGACGAGUGGCGGACGGGUGAGUAAUGUCUGGGAAACUGCCUGAUGGAGGGGGAUAACUACUGGAAACGGUAGCUAAUACCGCAUAACGUCGCAAGACCAAAGAGGGGGACCUUCGGGCCUCUUGCCAUCGGAUGUGCACAGAUGGGAUUAGCUAGUAGGUGGGGUAACGGCUCACCUAGGCGACGAUCCCUAGCUGGUCUGAGAGGAUGACCAGCCACACGGGAACUGAGACACGGUCCAGACUCCUACGGGAGGCAGCAGUGGGGAAUAUUGGACAAUGGGCGCAAGCCUGAUGCAGCCAUGCCGCGUGUAUGAAGAAGGCCUUCGGGUUGUAAAGUACUUUCAGCGGGGAGGAAGGGAGUAAAGUUAAUACCUUUGCUCAUUGACGUUACCCGCAGAAGAAGCACCGGCUAACUCCGUGCCAGCCGCCGCAGUAA
rnacentral:rRNA from 1 species